UUACGGCCAUAUCACUUUGAAACAGCUCUCCUCGUACGAUCAGCGAAGUUAAGCAACGUUGAGCCUGGUCAGUACCUAGAUGGGUGCCCGCUUGGGUAUACCAGGUGCUGUAAG